GGAAACCUGUUAAUACUAAAACACUAGUGGAAUAUAAAGGCAUGCCACCAAAUUCUGGUUGUGUGACUGACAGGUACCUGGUGUGCUAAUUAAGGGAGAGAAUCUCGUUAGAAAAUGUUCAUUAUUUCUGUUCACCAAGACACUUGGAAAUGAGUAGUUCUACCAUAAUAAUAGGAGGAAGUUUUGUCCCAAGUCAUUAAUUGGUGAUAAUGUAUGAGAUUUUCUGUAUUGGAAACAAGGGUCUUGAUUUGAAAGGAGUCCAUUACAAUUUGAAUUGUAUGGUAGGGACUCCGUUAAUGAUAAGAAAAUAAGGGGUGUUCAUGGGACACCCACAGAGGGUGAACUUGAAUGUGUGGGUGGGGGCUGGUGGGGAAAUGGGAAAAUCUGCCUAUAAAAUUAAUGUUUCAGUUUAUUUUUCAGAUUACAUGCCUUUCUUUGUAAAGGGAUGCUGGCACAGACCCCUAAAAUAAGCUUUUCGUAGUACUGUACCUUUGAAGAGUGGUGAAGGAUGCUAAUGGAUUAUCUCCUAAAAGUUGUGGUUUUGAUAGACUUACUGUGCAGAAUUGCUAAACAUGGUUUAGCAAAUAAUGUUGCUUAGUUUUAACUAAGUUUUGACUUUUAUCACUGAAAUAGCAGUGUAUCAAGGGUUGUAAGCUACUCAGACUUUGAACAAGUCCUGCAAUGUAUAUGAUAGCCUAAUGUGAAUUUAAAUCAUCUCAAAAAGUAGAUUCCUAAAAGCUGAUUUACGAAACUUGGGGUGGGAAAGGGAAGGUAGUAUUUUAGAGGUAUUUUGGCCAGUCUUCUCAUUUAAAGAAACCACCUGCCCCCAUUUCCUCUUCUCCACUUUCUCUCAUAAUUUUAAGAGGAACACUUGAUUGUUUUUAAACUAACUGCUCCUCUUACUACUCCUUAUCUUUAAAAAAUGCAUUCUCUAAGAGAUCCCAGUGUAUUUAAUAGGGACUUCAGAAACUUAGCCCAUUGGUUCAUGUUCAGUGAAACCAUAAUCCUCUUGGCUUAAAACACUAAUUAAACUUCUAAGAAGUACUGUAAACCCCACCACUCUUUAUUAGAUGUAUUAUAUCACUAAUAUAAAUAGACAAUAAUUUGGGAAAUUGUAAUGUUACGCCUGUGCAAUUUUUGUAAGUGGCAUAUCAUGGCAGAUCAAAAUUCAGAUACUUGGCUUUUCUUGGGCAAGCCACUAAGUUUGUGGCGGAAUAUUUUCUGGUGUUCUUGGACUGCAAUUGUGCACUAUUAAAGUAGUGGCCUGCUACAUAACUGCAUUUAGCCAGCAUUUCUGCAGUGCGUAACUGUGAGGAACGUAGUACCGCAAAUGGCAAUGGACAUUAGGACCCGGAUGUAGUAUUCCUGCUUGCUCCGAGAUUCUCAUUGCCGACUGCAUACAGGUAAGAAUGAUUGAUGUUGGCUGAGAACUGGAGUGCUCAUUCACUUGAAGUGGAUAUAAGUUCUCAAGACGUCACACAGCAUGAACUGAUCAAGAAAGCAAGCCACAACUUGUUAGACUGAUGAAGUAUCAAGGAUUACGUGAACUGUGUCCUGAAACCCAGUGAGGAAAAGAGCAAAGAGAGGAAUCAACCUGUUGUUGAAUAAAAAUGUUUCGAGAUGGG
rnacentral:lncRNA from 1 species